AUACUAUCUGCCAGCUAGCUUUAGAGAGUUCUUAUACUCCCUUCCUUUUCUUAUCUGUGAGAGGCCCUCACUAGUUAUGAACAGAACACCUUUGUUCUGUUUUCUUUGUUAGUUCAAGAGAAGUUCUUUCUCUUUUAAUUGUUUUUGUCCGAGACAGUUUUUUAGUUAUCCCAUAUUUACUCAAUGUUUGUUUAAGUAGACUUCAUGCAAGUUAUCUCACAUCUACUUAACGUUUGUUGGAGUGUAUGCACGAGAGGGACACGGCAUCCAGGUUUGGAGAUUGCAGCCGGGAACGAGGCUGCCAACCACCUAAGAACAGACUCUGCAUUCCUGGGGUCACGGAUCGGCCAAGGCCAUGCGGCCUCGCACUACACAACAUUAUUAGCUAGCUAAACAGCGUUGCUACAGUCACACUCUCCCCUCCCUUUAGUGUAGCAACGCCUCUUGUAACCAGGGCAACCCAAAAUAAAAAGAGGAGAUAGCGGUGGAGGAGUCCAGAAUUGGUGGAGGACUGUUAACUGGGCCUUCUACCUAAUUCUCCUCGCGAGCAAAAGGAAUACUGGUUGUCUUCUCCUCUUUGUUUCCAGCGUGUAAAUUAAUGUCUGAUGGUGUUUAGACCUGACAGUUU